AGACUGUUCACAUCUAAUGAGUAUGAGGUCUUGAGAGCAGUGCUGUGCUGGCUGUACCUGCAGUUAAAUCCCCUCAGACAGACCCUAACAGCCCACAGCACCAUCAUCACCUUGUUCUCCAAGGAAACGGCUGUUUUCUUGGAACAGCCUCAGGGUCAAAAAUACAUCACAAUCUUUCAAGCCCUUCGUAUGCAUGGCAUUACUGAAUCUGCUUGGACUCUCAUUCUGACGGCAC